UUUUUGAUUUACAAAAUUUAUUUUAAUCAAAGUCAUGAUGACAAAAGAAUAUUAUUAAUUGUAUCACUUUAAAUUUUAUUAUAAAUUGUUUUUUUUUAUUUAUUUAUUAUAUUAGAAUUUAUUCUAGAACAAUGUUAUUCCCAACCGAAACUAAUUUAUCAAUUCGAGAAAUAUAUUAAUUAGUUCAGGCUUCAAACAACUUCGUAGCAAAGGAAAUAUGUUUACAUAAAUUAAAAAUUGAUAUAAAAUCUUAACUUUUUACCUUCAAACAUAAAACUCUCCUUCAUUAAUUUAUAAAUUUCAGUCCGUUUUUGAAAUUUGUAAUUAAUAAAUUUAAAUCAUAAAACAAAAUAAACUUUUUUUGAAUGAAAUAAAUAAAUUUGCUUUGUUACUAUAUAGUUAAUUCAAUUGAAUCUAUAAAAGAGAAAAAGUGCGAUUAAUUCAGAAACGAAUGGGAACCACGAAAAGACGAGAAUCGACUUUUAGUCGUUCGUUAAAUCUAUCGAGCUAGCGUGAAGCAAUGAAUUCGUUCGUUAAAUCUAUAUCACGCUAGCUGAUCUAUACAGCUCAGUUUUUCUAGUUCUUUCCGUUAGUCUGUCUGAACUUCACAGCCAACUAAUCUUGUUUACAUCAUGGAAGCAUCGUGGGAAGAAUGGCGUUAUAUUUUAAAAUGAUUUGGAAAACAGCCUAUUAUUUUUAUUUCAAUAGAGGUAUGUUUUUCUUGUUCUUGACAUAUUCAACAUGCAAACUAUUAUAGAAUUUUUUUU